CCCUUAGAUGUCCUGGGCCGCACGCGCGCUACACUGAGUGUCUGAGAUAUGAGGCAUGCCUGGUCCGGCAAGGUCUAGGUAAUCACGAAAAGGCACAUCAUGCUUGGGAUUGAUUAUUGCAAAUUUUAAUCAUGAACGAGGAAUUCCUAGUAAGUGCAAGUCAACAGCUUGCGUUGAUUACGUCCCUGCCCUUUGUACACACCGCCCGUCGCUCCUACCGAUUGAAUGUUCCGAUGAAUACCAUGGACUGAGAGUAUGAAUGGGUUCGCCUAUUUCUGCUUCUCGGGAAGUGGAGUAAAUCUUAACAUUUAGAGGAAGGAGAAGUCGUAACA
rnacentral:rRNA from 1 species